AUUAUGUAAAUAUCAGAGAUUGGUACAAAUCAAAAUACACAAACAUUUUAUCUCCGUUACGAGACAAAUGGAUAUGUCUUUUUAUUUGUUAUGUAAAUACCAAUGGACUUUUUGAUAAGAAUUUGAUAAAAGUAAUUGAAGGCCUAAAAUACCAGAGAUUGGUGCAAAACUAAUCACACGGUAAUUAGCUUAAAUUGAAGGCCUCUGAAGCCCAUCACUUUAUCAAGUUUGAGAAUAAGCUAAUUACUGAUAUGUUUUUCAAUUUCAUUUUCAGAGCUUUGAAAGUUUCUCUCAAAUUUAAUUUUCAUAAUCUCUCUUCUCCAUCGAUUAAAGGGUUUACUGCCAUCUCUUCAAUUCCUAGGGUUUACUGAAAAUUUAAAGGUCUCUUCGAUGUCUUCACAUGCUAAGUGUCGUUUUUUCUUGGAACUGUACCUAUGUUUUCUGCUUGGAUUUACCCUGAGUUCUUGGAGUAUAACAAAUAUGUUGCUGCUUCUAAGGCAUGAGCAAAUUGCUUUGUUGGGUGCUAUUCACUCACUGUUUGAAGGUUUAAUGUCUACCUUUGUGUUCCUUUGGACAACUACUUUGAGCUUGAGCUUACAUGAUGAGGAAAUUCCUCAUGGUUUUAUAUUUGCAGCAUUUAUGAUGGCGUCAAUGUUGGGAAGCUCCUUUGCACCUCGGUUGAUGGCUCAGUCUUCAACUCGGGUGGAAAGCAACAAAUGCAGAUGAUGGUGGUGACACAAGAGGUGAGCUGAAACUAGCCUUUUUGUGCAUUUUUAAUGUCUAUUAACCCUGUUAAUUAGCAAAAUUAUGCUAAAUUAGCUACUUUCUAUUUCUAUCAGUAUGGUACUGAAACUGUCUUCUUGGUAUCUACACCAAUGACCAAAUUCCCAGCAGCCAUGGCUUCUUUUUAGAUUAAAGGUUCAUUGUAUAGCGAUCGUACAUGUAUAUAGACACUGCAGAACUGAAAUCUUAAUUCUGGUGUUUAAUUGCUGAGAUUGGGUAUCUUUAUAUGCUACUAUGUUCUGUUUAUAGUGUGCGUUUGAGUCAACUGUAAAUUACUAUGCAUAAAGACCAUAUAGUUUCUUUGAUAUCUUACUGAACUGGUGAUCUCAGAAGCAUUCUAAACGUUGCUAUGUUUGCAAGUCAGGAAAAACGUGCUACCAUUUCCUAAAGGAGAGAGGUGUCUCAGAUGCCAAUUUCUCCUCCAGCAUAU